rnacentral:rRNA from 1 species
UACGGAGGGUGCAAGCGUUAAUCGGAAUUACUGGGCGUAAAGCGCACGUAGGUGGUUUUCUAAGUCAGCUGUGAAAUCCCCGGGCUCAACCUGGGAAAUUGCGUUCGAUACUGGAUAGCUAGAGUUCGGCAGAGGGAAGCGGAAUUUCGGGUGUAGCGGUGAAAUGCGUAGAUAUCCGAAGGAACAUCAGUGGCGAAAGCGGACUUCCUGGACCAGAACUGACGAUCAGGCACGAAAGC